GCUAGUGUGGUGUAGUGGUUUGAGUACUGGACUAGGAACCUGAAGAACAGGGUUCGAUUCCCAGCUCAACCA